UGGCUUCUGGCUGUCUAAAAGUGUGCUCUGCUCUGGCGAGGUCUACAGGCCAGACUGCUGCAGGGACUCCCCAGCAGAAGCCUGAGCGAUGUGGGUUCAGCUGUGUUUGACAGGCUUAAUGCAAACACCUGGCCAGGACGGAAGUUUGAUCCUGCAAGAGCCAAGCAAUGCAGCAGCUUCAUCUCAUUGGGCAGAAGAUAAGCACUGCACAUGCAGAUCUUCCAGAUGUCCCAGGACUUGUCCCAGGAAUCUUCAUACGCCCUCUGAAAGCCAGUUGUAAUGGAAAGGCUGCUUCAUGUGAUGCAUCGAACACGUUUCAUUUUGUGGCCCUCAAAUUGAGCAAAAAGGGCUGUCAGAGCAAGGCUGCAGGAUUCAGGCUCUGACCUUCACACCCUGCUUUCUCCUGUUCUCGCUGGUACUGUGUGCUGAGGGGAGGCUCCUGCAGCACCUGCCCUGGGAUAAGGCAUCACGGUUUGUUCCUGUCCCUGCCUUCAAGGUCUGUGCCAUUCCACACGGCUGUUUCUCUAGGAGAAAGCGUGUGUUCAGCAGUGUGAACCGUCUCCACAGAGCUGCAGCCUGGCUGAGUAACACAAUCCUUCACCUCUCCCCUUGGAGAACAGAAGGGACAGAAAUGUACUGACUACAACUAGGGGCAUCCCAUCCUGGUUUUGCUGCUGUCACGAGCCCCUCUUGUUCUGUCGGAAGGGUUUUGUGUGCAGAGAGAUGUAGCAGAUAGGCUGUGUUUGCCUGGGCCAUGAAGAGUAACAACCCUUUACAAGCAAAGAUGCGCUCUUUAGCCUGCCAGGCAGUGUGCUUGGGAGCUCCACUGCUUCCUCAGGAUGUCCACAAAACGUCAUCCAACAAGAUGGCACCUACCAGCUGCUCUCACCUGGGUGGGCAAUGUGAGCCACUGUGUGCUCUGCCGGCCCUGUGCACAGUGAGGGGCGCUGGUGGUGUGAAUGGGAGAAACCAUAAAGGCAGUUAGAGUGGGAAGGGAGAGGAAUUGCACCAUCCGUUAUCCAACUUGAGCAAAGUGACGUGAAGAAGGAUAUUAUUUUAGAAAGUUUAUCUCUUUAGUAUCUAUGGUGACAAGAUGCUUAUCGGAGUAAGACAGACUCACAGGCUGUCUGCUCCUUGUUAUCUCAGUGUAGGAUGACAGUAUAAGUAUCACGUCUAGAAAUGUUAUCUAUCCUUUAUUAUUUCACUUGUGAGGGUCUAACAGGAGUGUUAUCAGGGUGUUUACAAUCAAAACACGUGCGGCUCAAGUGAUAAAAAGGAGAACAGACAUCUGAUCUCCAAGGAUAUGAAGACAAUACAGCCUUGAGCAGGAGGAGAUGGAUCUUAUUGGAAAUGGUUUGUCGGGCUGGGAAUGGACAAGCAAGCCCGCGUGAUUGCUCACAUCAUAAGCUUGAGAGAUGGGAUGGGGGAGAAGCACGCGUACGAGCGCACGCGGUCUCACAGAAAAUGAAAAGGCGAUUGUAUCAACAGCACUCUCAGCUGAAAGAGAAAUAUUUUCCAAUAAUUUCGUUACGAUUUGAUGUAUUCUGUGCUCUCCUCUCCCUUAGAGCGGUAAUGUGGCGAGCUGGCAGGACCAACAAGUGCCGUAGAGUUGCUUGGAGUGAGUCAGAAGCUGAGAAAGCUUACCCAGGCUCGGAGGGUGGAGAGCAGACAGCUGGUAAGAUUGCUUAUCAGGGGCUUCCUUUAGAUUAGCACAACGCUGGCCCAAGCUUCUGCAAGGUAAGGAAUCAAUUUCGGGGUUAGUGGUGACUAUAAACCUUAUCCUAGAUCUCCUUAGGGCCAGGGAGGCUAAAUUCCUCACGGACGGAGGUGUACAAAGAUCUCCCAGACAUCAGAUCUCAUUCGUUUACAGCGUGAGCAAGCCAGGUGCUCAGUGGUGUCAAAUGCUGAUUUUCUUACUUGGCAUGAAUGAUCCUCAGCUGUUAAAGAUAGGGCUGGAUUGUGCAAUGCUCUGUUCAAACCCAGGUCUUACUCCUGGAGGUGGCUGUGUUCUUGGAUAGAUAGACUUCAUUGGAUGUUUUCUUCUUCUGUUGCAGUUAGACUCCAUUCUCCUAAGGUACAACAGUUCCCUUAAGCCAAGCAGAGUGCUUUUAUCCCACAAGAUAACAUGGAGUGAGGAGUGUGUCUUCUGGGGGUCAUAGAUGGGGGGCCAGGCAUGGUGAGGUGCAAUGGGUGGGCACAUUGUGGCCUCCUGGUGACAAACCCACCUCUGAGCAUCUCUUCCUGACUGUAUAGCUGGCUUCCAACUGGAGGUAGGCAGCUUCUUUGGGUAGGGGGUAGGGAAGGAACACAAGCAUCUCCCCCUCAGCACAGUUCUGCAUUAGCCUGCCUGCUCAGCUCCAUAUUCAUCUUGAGCUGGGUAUCACACAAAGAGAACUGCUUUCAACCUGUCUCAAUGACUCUCCCAUCACUCUCUAAUGGCUGUCAACUGCAGGUAACCCUUCUUCACCUGUGGAAACUGGCAGCAACACCUCGGGCUCGUUUAUGAGAAAUUAUCUCUGGUUGUGAUACACGGUGCAUUUUUUUUUUUUCAUUUGAACCCCUAGCUUGGCAGGGCCAGUGGGGCUGUUUUGUAUGGUAAUAUAUGACCCAUCACUCCUCUCCUGCCCUUCGUCUCUCACACCUUUAAUUGCACUUGUGUUUCUGAAGCAUAUGGAAUUCAUUAUUCAGCAAGCAAGGUCCUUUGCAAUAUCAGCCUUAAUUAACUGUUCCCCUCUGCAUUUUCUUGCUCUUAUCCUCUCCAAAUCUACACACCAAGACAGGCUGAUGGCCCCCCACAUGCAUCAGUGCCAGCCAGUGAGCCGUGACCAGAUAAGAAGAAAUGGAAUUCCUUAUCUUUUUUUUUUUUUCCUUCUUCUUUCUUAAAAUACAUGUACACACAAACCUGGAAAAGGUCAAGGUUACUGGGAAGGGAGAAGGCACUUCAAGACAACAAAACCCCCUUCUCUUUCAAGUCUCCAUAGCAACUCGAAGGAGCAUCAUGGGAUGUCAGGAUGAGAGAGGCCUAUUCUUUUCAUGCAACACUCUUUCCACUUCAUUAGACUCUUUAUCAAGUAUCUCUGCUCUGGGCUGAGUAUAUUUUUUUGUGUCAGGGAGCAGUGCAGAUGACUCAAAAGCACGCUGACCUUUUCAGUGGGACCCGGGAGUUCCUUGUGGGAGCUGCAUCCUCUUCCCUUGCCUUCCUCCCCCACAGCCCCUUGCCUCCAGUUCGCAUGACCUCGGUCUGCCUGGCCUUCUCAUCAAAACCCCGUGGCUGGGGAGGGAUGAAGGGCUUCUUUUAAAGGAGAAAGGGGGAAAAAAAAUAAAGAGAGCAGAGUAUGAGAAUGUCCUUCGCUGGCACUGGAGGUGUCAAGACCCAGCUGUCAGAGCCGUGCAUCUAUGGGGAAGAUUAAUGACUCUGCUCAGAGAAAAUCCAAAUAAAAUAGGACAGAAUAAAUGCCAAGUGACUGGGCGGAGGAUGAGGGGAAGAGUGAGGAAGGAGCGAGGCAGUGUGACGGGGCGGAGGUAUUCCUCAGUCUCGGAAGUGCUUUAAUUCCCCGUGGAGGAACAAGUUAGCAUAGGAACGCUCUUUAGGUUUCACCCCAUGGUCUUGAAGAGCCGUGUCUGUCUGUGUGCAUCGGGGUGUGAGCACGCUUAUAAAGCACUGGUUGUACCGAGGCACCGAGGCUGUAUGUUUUUAUCUUUACUUCCUUGGAAAAAUACCCACCGUAGAGAAGCCUUUUGUUUUAAGCUUCUCACCACGUUAGCCCGUUUCAUCCUCUAGAUAUCUUGAAUUGCUUUGCAAAUCAAUGUGCUGCUUGUUCUUGGGAAGCUUCAAUGCCUGUUUUAUGCUGGGCAGUAGCACACAGCACAGCUUGGAGGGAAUAAAGGGGCUGCAACUGUGCUGUGGUUGUGGGAUUGCACUUGAGCUGCAGGCCCUUAGACCUAACCUUCACGAGAUACCAAGGCGCUGUAACUGCCUUUAGUUUUUAAGAUGAUCCUUUGGAUUUUUACUUCUUCCAGGGAGCUGUUCCGUGACAGUUUGCAGCUUAAUUUGAACAGACUUCAUGCUCUGAGAGCCCAGCUGAGCUCCUCACCAUAACAGCACACGGUGUGAAACUCCGUAUGUUGGAAGCCGCGUGCAUUGGAUGAGGAGAGGGACUCGUUAGCGUGGAUGACUGACAAGGCCAAAGUCAUUUAACCAAGUGUUUGUAAAGAGCCUUGAACCUGGACAUGCUCAGACUGUGUGCUCCAAGCUAGAUGAUUUACAUGGGUGAUUUUAGGAGGAAAAACUGUAGAAGAAAAAGCUUUGCACGUACAGUAGGAAUCAGGGUUAUGAAUAUCCCAGUCCAACUGCUUCGAUCCUCGGAGGAGUAAUUCUGAAGUGGGAAAUCCCAUUAACUCAUAAUAGGGCUCUUAAGUAGUUCCCUAUGAUGAAUUUGUGGCACUCUGCAAGUCUCAUAAUUCCCAAUAUACAGAUGAGGAAACUGAGGUUAAGUGACUUACCCAAGGUCACGUAGGAAAUCAAUAACCACUGCAGCCCGCGCCGGCAGCACCUCUCACUGACUGUGAGUGACUCUGAAUCAGGGAAUGAUUUGUGUUGAAAGGGGCCUCAAAGAUCACCCAGUUCCAGCCCCUGCAGUGGGUUGGUGGCCACCCACGACAUCAGGCUGCCCAGGGCUGAAUCCAACCUGGCCUUGGACAGCUCCAGGAAUGGGGCACCCACACUUCUCUGGGCAAACCGAAUGGUGAUAAUCAUCCCCAGUGCUGGCAGAGGAAACUUGGUGUCUGAACCCUGUAUCAUGUCACAGCUCUAAAGAAUGUCCCAGGGUCUCGGGGGAGGCUUGGCCAUGCAGAGCUGAGUGGCUGGGACUCUCCCACCCCGAUCAGAGCAACGCUGCUUUGCUGUUUCCUGGCAGAUGGGUGUCCUCUUGUUCUCAGGAUCCUCAAAUAUGGAUGCUCUGUGGUCUCCUGCUGUCCCAGUUUAUCCCAGUGCCCUCUGCCAUCUGUCACAGCACUGUUGCUUUCCCGUGGCACGGCAGGCAGGAGCCCGAAUCCCACACUCUCCAUCUGUGUCAGGUGCUCUGGCUGUGCUCAGCAGUGUGUUUCUUGUGAUCUGAAGCUUAUGUCUGAAAAAGCAGGCAGAGCAUGUCUGUGGCAGGUGUGCAGUGUUGGGGGUGGGAUCCUCUCUCAUAUGAUGGCAGGAAAUUGCCUCGUGCAGGACCUCUCUGCUGUGGUGAGUGUGAGAGCCUCUGCCAGUACCUGUGCUCCUUCUUUCCUCCUGCUGAUUGAGCUCACCGCUCGUGUUCCAGCUCCUCUGCUCGCUGCUUUCAUCUCAGGUUUGCAGGGGAAUACACUGCUGGCAUAGGGGUGUUCCAGCACUGGGGACUGGUGUGAUCAAUGCAUGCUUCCUUACCACGUGUGGUGGGUCCUGCAGGAAGGGGCUGUGCUUCCCAGGGUCCAACGUGGGACUCCUCACAGUAACACUGACCAUCACCUACGUGCUCUUCCUAUCACUUGUUGCUCUUUCCAGAACUAGCAGCUGGUGUGACCCAGCGAUGAGAGGUGCGAGACGGGGUGCAGACACCCAGCAUCACUCAGGUCUUCUGCAGGAGUUUUUCCUCUGUCCAGCUUCUCAGUUCUUUUUUUAUAGUUUCCCUUCAGCUGAUUCAUAGCUAUUUGAAUUGCUGAUUUCACUCGUACUGUUACUGUGGCCUAGUGCUAAUGAUCUGUCUCUAUUUCCUUCCCAGGUAGUAAAGCACAGCAAUACUCUGGAGCCUGCUGUCUGAAUGAGCAUGUGCUGGGAUUAACCUGCUGCCCAACAGCUUGCUAUAUUUUCAUAGUGCUUCCCAUAGCUGCCAGUCUGACAGGCCUCUGAAAGCUGAGGGAAGUGGUUAGUGAUAAGGUGUGGGCACUGAGAACAGCUACACUUUAAGGCCUCACAAGGACAGCAUGCAUUUCUUGUAUGGCUCCAUUUUCCGAUCAGCAUCUCUACACAUAUUUGUCGCUUGCCAGACCCUCAGUCCUCUUUGACUUAACCUGCUGAGAAGGGAGGAUGCUCAGGAGCAUGCAGGCGGAGCAGGAAGCUCAGGGCUAUCUGCCAUAACCCAACCCAGAGACCACUCUGCUCCGCAGCUGGUGCUCCAGCCACCUGCACUGCCAGCACUGAGCUCCAGCUCCAUAACCCAGUGCCUGCGGGCAGUUUUCUGACCUUGUGUAGGGCGAAGAUCUCAACACUCCGUGCAUAUGUGGGGUGAAUGCUGUGGCAGAGGUGUGGCCAUGUAGACAACCCCCUGUUUUGCAACGCACGGCAGAGCACUGGUGUCUCAGGGACAGUUGUAGCGCAGGGGAUAUUUUGUACUGCAAACUGCAGCUUUAAAAAAAGCACUCAAUGUUGGUUCAAGGUUUCAUUCCUGAAGCCUUAAGGACUGAAUAUAUUCACUGUGUCCUUCUUUAUUUGCAGGUUUAAGGCACGACAGACUUGUUCCGCUGAUUAUUCUGACUGCAGGUAUUAGCUGUUCCUUUGAAUGAGGAAUGAGUUAGGCCCCCACUCUCUACUGCUGCGUGGUUUGAUUUCACCUUCAUUCGUAUUAUGGCAGUUCUGAGAGAGCUUCUUGUUUUAUAGAGCAGCUGUGUUGUCUUAAUGCAGCUGUAAUGUGUGUUUGUCCAGGCAUUGCCUUUAGGGGACAGCAGGACUAGGAAGAUGUUUUAUUAGAUCAUUCACAAGUCCUAAUAAUCUCUGAGUCUCUGUAAUAUCUCUGGAUGUCAGCUGUGCUGCUUUCUCUGUGUGGUAUGGGGUUGUAACCUGAAGAUGGGAAAUUGCUUGUGUAUGAUCCCAUAUCGGUUUCAUCUCAGUUUUAGCUCUCCCCUCCUGGCUGUCAAAGAGGAGUUGGUCCUUGUAUGCAAGAUCUUAAACCACGUGUUGGGAGCUCAUGCAUGGAGCAGAGCAGCGGUAUCAGAGGGGAUCCGAGUUGCUUGGAGCCCUGCUUGUGUGAUUCACCGGUGGCACUGAAGACCUUCCCCUGCAGGCUGGAUCCUGGACAGCGCUCCCAUCCCUGCACCUCCAACCUCAGUGCCCGGGUGGUGCAUGGGGCUUAGCCUCAGACUCCCUCAGGAAGGGAAGGACGUGCAUCCUGCCUGUCCUGUGCAUACGGUGUUCCUCUCCAUGGACUCUUUCCAAGGUGUUGGUCUCCAGAAUGCUCCUGGCUCUGCUCUUCUUGGAAGCAAUGGUGAGACAUCUGUCAGUGUGAGCCCAUAGAGGGAAGCUGAGGUCUGCUCCUGCUGCUAGGAUCCAGUAACUCUUCCUGUAAGAAUGUGUUGCUUGGAUGUGAAGAGAUGCUAUUGAUCUUACAAUGGAGGUUGCAGAUGAAGGAGAAAAGGUUGGAAUUAAGCCGACAGCACUCAACUGCUGUAAGCCGGACAUUGCAGAAUGGUGGCUUGCAUGAAGCCAGAGGCCAAGCUCUAUGGUCUGGAGCCUCACAGGGAGUCCUCCAAGUGAAGGAUGAGCCCUGAGCUGCAGGAGAGAUCUACUCCCACUAAACCAACCUCCCGAGGGGACUUGCUUUGUUUGACUGGGUCCGUCAUCCUCAGGAGGAAACUUUCCUCUGCAAGAUGGUGAAAUAGUGCCCAUGUGGAAACGUUCUGACUGCAUGCGCCUGGAGUCCGGCAUUGUUGCAGAGGAGGAGAGCGGCAUAGGAUGGCUCCAAAGAAAAGAGGUCUGCAUCAGAAGGAAAACCUCCUGCCAUGCCAGCUUGCCCAGACCUAACGGUGAGACGGCCUUUCCCAGCUACACUAAGGGCUGCUUCUUGUGGACUGGAAGUAUUGCCAAAGAGUGAGUGAUCCUUAUUAAUAUGCAUCUCCAAAAACAACAGGCAGUCUUGCACAGAUCCUCUCACACGUAUCUUUGGAUUUUGAGACAGUGGAGAGCUAUUUAUUCCCUCUCACACCAAUGUCAGCCAUAGCGCAAGAUGUCUUGAGCUGAUUAAAAAUCUCUUUAAUCAAAUGCUGGCAGGGGAAGUGUUCAGAAUGUUAGAAGGAUGACUUUGACAAGCUGCCCCUGCACUGUGAGUGACUUCAUCCAGAGGUUGGCCCGGCAGACUGGCGUGUGAUACAAAGCCUCCACUCACCUUGAUUUCCAAAGCUGCCAACAAACUGCAGUGACGAUGCUGAGAAGCCAGUAGGGCACUGUAGCCUGUGCUCAGUUCUUCUCCGUUAGAUACUGACCCCCCCAAAAAAAACCUUUGCUACAGGCAAAAUCCAUCACUCGAUUCAUCAACCCCUACCUACGCUUCAAAUUCCUAUAUCCCAAAUCCAUGGGAACGAUUUUGAACAUGAAUGUAGGCUGGAAAUCAUUGCUGUGCAGAUUGUCUGGAGGCUUUUUUUCCCCCCCUGUUCUAUGGCUGAACUGGACUUCAAAAGAAUAAAUAAAAUCCAUUCUGGUAGCACCCCCUCCUCCCCCCCCAACCCCCCAGGAGGAGUGUACUUCUAUGGAGAAAGGACAUAAAGAAACCUCCUGAUAUUUUAUUCAACCAGAAUUAAGUGUUUUGAUUUUGGGGAAUUCAGCUAAUUUUCUUACUCCUCAAAAUAGGUCAGCUUUGAAAUAGAAGAUGUCACGCUGAAAGAAAAAAAAGGGGAAUAGAUUUGUUUAGUGAAUGUAAGAUUAUACAUACAUACUUUUGGAAUUUUAACAAGCUUAUGAAUGGAAAGAAAGCAUCCAGGUUGUUUCUCAGUCAGUUAGACUUGGAUUUAGGACCGGUUUUCACUCUCCAUAAACUGCAUUUCUUUUUCACUUAGAAGAUCCCCUCCCUCCACAAAAGCCCCUUCCCCUUUUGCCAUUGCUGGAAAUAAAUAGCCAUAAUAUAGCUGGAAUUAAUACAGCUACACUGAGUCAACUAAGUGCUGAAUUUUUCUUUCCCAAUGCUCUCUGGGCACCCAGACGUGCUCAAUAGGAAGUGUUGGCACUUGGGGCUACGUAUAGAAAACCAGGGUGUGUGCUGCUGGGGCUGUUAGGGAGGAAAUCUUGUGCCAGCAGCCCUCUGCUGUGGGCCUUCUCCAAGCUUUGUCUCUAUUCCCUCAUUCCUCUGCAGAUGUCCUAAGCCACAUUUUGCUUUCAUUAUGACAAAAAUUGUGCAAGAUACUCAUCUUCUUUUAUUUAUAUAUAUAUAUAUAUAUAUAUAUAUAUGUAUAUGUAUUUUGUAGCAUUUCUGUGUUCCUACACCUUCUCUCUUUGCGGCAUUGCUUGUGGACAUGUAAGUAGUAGGUUAGUUUCUAUUCUUACUCUGGGGGGUUGGGUUCCAAACUGUUUAUUGAGUAAUAAAAAGAGAAAAUGGCGAGUCAUUGCCCAGGGAUAAUGUGCUAAUAAUUUUAUGACUGGACAAAUGGUUGCAACAGCCCACAAAUGGCUGUAGGCAGGAAACCUGGUGUCUAUUGCUGACAGAGCCACCCCCAAGGAGAUAAAACCUCACUUUUGGUGAUCAAAGUUGAUGCAACAACUGUGAUCUAUUAAAAAUUACUUUGGAGAUGGGUAAGGCAAUCAUUAUUCCUCUUGGAAGAGAAGUGGCGGACAUAGACUUUUUGGGAAGUGUUUAGAAGUGAGCUCUACAUGGGAUGAAUGCAACAGACCACCGUGGCUGCUUGCGCUCGGAGCCACGCGGCGCGCAGCUGCAGGGCUGCAGGCUGGGGAUGCUUGGAGAAACAAAGAUUAAAGGGGGGUUAGUGCUAUCAGGCAAACACGAAUCAUCCCAGAGAUAACAAAGGGUUGAAGUUUAUUUAGCCACUAACCGUAUGGCACUCAAGUGCGUUAGCCUGGCUUGACUGCUGCAGAGCAUGGAGCCGGAAUGGCUGCUGCAGGGCGUACACCAGGAUACACCCUGUCCCACUCUGGGCUGAUGUCCCCUGUCUGAUUACUCAAGGAGGAUGUCCCCCUCCUGGCGAUGGGGCAGUUGUCCCAUCGGCACCAAUUUCUUCCUGCUGUUGUGGAGUUUGGUGGGGAAGGAUGAGCAGGGCCCUUGUGAGGUCUCUCUCUGCCCGUCUCCCAGCAGGCAGGAGGAGCUGUACCUCUUCCAAACCCGCAGCAGAUCCAGCCCUCGAAGCGGGCAAGAAGCCAUGUGAUGGGGCGUAGCUGCUCGCAGCUGCCAAGACCUCACAUUUGUAUGUUAGUGAUGCAGAUAGGAUCUCAUAAACCCGUCUCCAUACUGCUUUACUGCUGAUUUAACGAUCAGAGGAAGAACUUGACUGUUUAUUAAAACAUUAGACAGUAAAGUUUAACAAUAGACAGUAAAGGGUUUUGUUUUUCCAUCCCUCUGAUUGUUAAAGCAACAACACAUAGGCCUGGAGAGGGGCCUGCUGCUAACCUCAGGAUGAUGGGAUGGGGCCAUGAAGCUCCUCCAGAAGGCAGGAUAGAGCAGCUGGCAUUCUGGCAAAUCCCAUAUCUGAAGAAGGAAAUCUGAUGUAGGGUAUGGGUGCGUGCCCCAUCACCGGAGGCGCUGAGGGCUGGGCUGGAUGGGGCCCUGGGCAGCCUGAGGUGGUGGGGGGCAGCCAGCCCAUGGCAGGGGUAGGGCUGGGUGGGCUGUAAGGUCCCUUCCAACCCAACCAUUCUGUGAUUCUAUGAGUCUGACUGUGAGAAGGGGCAAUCCAAUUGCUCUGUGGGCAAGGGUCUCGUGGUAGGGCUCCUGUUGUUCAGCAGACCCGCAAACACCGGCAAAGGGAGCAGAUGGAAACAAAACUCGCAAGGCAACAGCAUUAUUCAGGACAGUGCCAACGAAAGCUGACUGCGAAGAAACGCCGAAGGAUUGCAGCGUGCAGGUGAUGAAAUGGCAGAGGAAAUUCAUUGUUGGUAACUGCAGAUAGAGAAAAAUCAGCAGUGGCUGUACCCAUACAGCAGCACCAUCUCAAUGAGCUAUUGCCUCUCUGGAAGGAGGCUGUGGAGGCAAGGCAGGCUGUUUCUGGAAACGUCAGCAGUGAUCACAAAGGCAGUGGCCAUUCUAGGAGUUACGGAGGAAGAAAUGGAGAGUAAAACAGGCUGCCAUUGUGCUGCUGGGUGCAUCCACAGUGCAUCCCCAUCCGAGGUGCUGCCCCUGCUUCUGGUGGCCGUGUCUUGGGGCCAAGGGAAGAUGGAAGAGGAGUUACAGGGACUUCAUAGCAGGACCUCGAGAACUUGAGCUGAAGUGGACAGAUCUGGAGGAGAAGAUGAGAGGAAGAAAGCCCUGGGUGGCUUGGAGGAGUUGGACGUGGAGCUGGACAAGCAUCUGCUCUGUGUCUGUGCUGAUGCUAUUUAGAAACCCCAGCCUUGGCUCUGCUUGACAUUUGGUAAUGCUGAACUGGGACAGCACCCAAAAAACCCCAUCCGUGUUGGACCGUCAGUAAGAGGUGGCACAUCUGACCAAAACCACGUCGCCAUUUGCUUCCUUGACAGCACAUCCUACCUCAUCCCCUGUCCUUGUCCUGCUGACCCCCGUUCCCAGCCUCCCUUGCUCAAUUUCAGCAGCAUCUUGGGAGGCCCCUUCAGCUGCAAGCCCCUCGCUUGGGAAAGAAAGCGGGGUUGGAGGGGGGGGAUCAGAGCCCAGCUGUGGGCUGGGGCAGCAGGCGAGUGCUUUCCAAACGCUGACUGCUGUUGGUGUAUUUCUGCUGGUGAGGAUGCAGCUGGCAGCGUUUGUGUGCAUGCGUUUAUAUACACACACACACACACACAUACUCACCUCCACACGAGUACACGACUAAAAUACAUAUAUUUCCUCACCCCGCAUCUUUCUGCAAGCUGCAAAAAUACAAAAGAAUAAAAUUAAGUCUCUUAUCGCUGCUAAGUCAUCAGAAACUAAUAUUGCAUCUACCGGGCAGUUUUCCCCCUCCCUCCCCCAAACCAUCUCCACUUCGCAAUCCUAAUUCAAUGAUUCUUUCUGUAGCUCUUUACAUUCUAUUAUUUAUAAGAAACAAUAUUCAGCCCUCCCCUGACAGUAUUUGCAGGGCUGCGGGAAGCAGUGCGGCAGAAAGGUGGUAGAACAAUUUUGGUUAUGUUUCCAUAGCUACCUAGCUGCUAAAUGUGGUUUAUUCCAUUUUAAAGUCAACCAACACACACCCGCACGCACACGCACAAACCACCAGAUGAAGUGUAUUCAAACUAAUCCCUGGGCCGCCUAUUACAGCCUAAUAUCCCUGCCAUUUGUAUAUUUAAAGGGAUAGUUGCUGCAGAAAUAAAUGGCAGGGCAGCGCUCUCGCUGGCUAGAGCAGGAUGAUCAACAUAUUGUUUCUUUCUUGCUCUCCUCUCCGACGUGUGUGUUCCACUCCAUCCCUGUAAUAUUAUUAUGGAGAUUUUUACCGAGGGCUGAGAGCUGAGGAAGUCGGAGGUAGGAUGGUGUCCUCUCGUGGCAGUCAGCAUCUCUGCAGCCUGAUGGUAGCCGUGCCAAGAGAGAGCCGAGCAUGGGCUCUCCUGGGCAUGCACGGCUGUCUUAGGGACAAAACUCUUGGAGCAGAGCUUCCCACCUCCCCUAGUGCACCCAAAGACGAGGAGCCUCCUGCUUCUGCUCCACGCCAGGCUGGAGGCUGCUGCUUGCUCUCGCUUUCCCUGCGUGAAAGAAGAACCCUUGGGAAAGGAGUGGUGGGUACCAGCUUUGCAGAGCGGAGGAAGUUUGUCCCAUGGAAGUGAGCAUCUCUGAGCUGCCGUGGGUUGGUGGAGAACAUCUCAGAGCUUGUAAUCAGUGCCUCAUAAAUCACCGCUGACUGCCGGGAUCGCUUUGGCCGCUCUUCCCCAUCGUCCUGUCUGCAGGAAUGGGCUGCAUGUUUCCACGUGGAUCGGGUCUGAAUUGGCUGUCUGAACCCAGAGAUUAAAGAAACAGCAGCCUCUCUCUCUCCUGUAACUGGCCCGAGAAUCCAUGAGCAUCCUCAGAAGUCUGAAGAGAAUGGGCAUCCUGUCUAUAUCCAAGGCAGGUAAUCACUGUAAAGGGUGGCUGGAAGGGCAAAAGCUGCAUUUCCCCACGCUGGGGGCUGCGGAGGAGGCAGAGGCAGAUACCUGGGGCUCCCUGGCAGCGCUUGCUGAAGAUCAGCCUUGAUCAGAACAGGUCUUCUCACAGGAAACAUCAACUUUUUGUCAAAAAAGCCUGAAGAUAAAUAUUCUUGGAUGAAAACCUAUAAAAAGCUCAGACUGACAAACUAUUUUUUUUAGGCACUUCUUUUUCUCCCAACAAGAAUAUAUCUGUCAAGAGAAACAGAUGUUCUCUAUGAAGAAUCUUCUUUAAUUACAAGUCUGUCAAAAAGAGAAAUCUUCAAGUGUCUCAAGCCUCAAAUCUGCGAAUGGCUUCAGCCCUGGGCAAGAAAUCACCCCUUUCCUGAGCAGCCCCAGUGCCCUUUCUCAGCUCUUGUCAUGUCAUCCCUGCAGCUGCACCAAUAAACUGGGCAUUUUUGGAGUUUAGUUUUCAGAUGAGCCCGCUUCAAAUCAAUGGAGCUGCUGCUUUUCGUGACUCCUGGGAAUAAGAUGGCGUGGAAACAACCCACGGCCAUGCCCAAAUAAGAAAACUAAAAGAAUUAUUGGUUUUGGUCAACCUGGAACAUGGCUCUUUUUGCCCUGACAUUUUCCUAGAGGAAAGUGAAACUCUUCAUCUACAGAUUCAAAAAGUCCCAAAGGCACUCUGUCAGACAUCUCCCAACGUGCUCUCUCAGUUAUUGCUGGAUGGAUCAGAAGUUCUCCAGGGAGCAGUGAAGAUGUUUUUGCGGGCUACAAAACCUCAAAGGCUGAAAAUACUCAAUUCCAGUGUCUGCUUCUUGCUUCCAGAGGAGAUAUCUGCUCUUUGUCUUCAUCUUCAUCGUCAUCAUCUUUGUCUUUGUCUUCAUCUUUGUCUUUGCUUUGUCUUUGUCCUCCUUCUCCUUCUUUCUCUCUCUCCUCUUCCUCUUCCUUUUCCUCCUUCCUCCAGCUCCUAAAUCCCCACCUUCCCUUGACCCCCCCUCCUUUCCUUCUCCCCAUCAUGCAUUGCAUGCUGAAUGCAGGAGGCUCUCAAAGGCAAGAGUCGGCCUGGGACACUCUUACCCACAAUAGCAGUGGUGAACAGAACCCAGGUUUUCAGCCAGGAAAUUUCACUGGUAAUCUCCUGCGAGGGAGGCGCUCCCAUUUUUCAUGAUGGUUGGCCCUUGCGGGAUAUGGAUGAAAAGAGAAAGCAUUUCAUUUGCUCUUUGAAAACUGGAGCUAUAGAUCAAGGCCCUGCUCAGUCCCCUGAAGACUAGAAAUGGGAUUUUUGCAAGAAUUGAGGCUAUCCUCUCUGAAAACUAAAACAGUUAUCUACACUUUCAUCGAGAGGUCAGCAGUAGAGAUUUUUCUCCAACAGCUGGAUAAAUCCAGGCUGUUAGUGCCUCUCCUUCCCACUGUUCUCUGUUAUUGCUUUUCAUUACGUGAAGGGUGAGGAACAAGCAAAUACCUCUGCUUUCUAGCUUUGCCCUUGCCCGUUUGUACAAAGCAGCCAAACAUUUCCUUCUGACACUCAGGACCCAAGCACCUUUGGUGUCUGAUGUUUCUCCUUGGAUGCCAUGGUCUGGAUGCAGUUGCUCAGGGCUGCUUAAUCCUACCAGAUGGCAUAGAAAUGUUAUUUUUUGGACACAGGCACUCUUCUUGCCGGAUAUGGGUGCCACGGGACCAGGGCAUCCUUUGUCGCCUGGACCCAGUGUGAUCUCCUGUAACACUGGGCAGGAGGGUUUGCAGAAUCACGCUGCAUCCUGCGUCCCUGAGCCUUGCAGCCAUAAAUCCUUUGCCUCUGCCACAACUGUGAUUGAGCCUGCCUGGCUUAAUUUAUUUCUCCAGAGCCCACACAGUUAUGGUAGAGAUGAUUGCCUGCUCAAGGAGCAGCACUUGGGAUGAAAUCUUUUCCUCUUGAGAGUGCUGCUGGAAAAACAAGGCAGUGUCCGUGAGCUGCCAGCAAUCCCCAUGUAGGCAUUGUCUUUGCUUGGCCACUUCUUUGCGGUGCUCUCAUCCUUCCUGACCUCUCCCCUUCUCUCCCUUCCUUUAAGUCCUUUUCUCUCUGUUUCAUUUCUACCUAUGUCUCUUCCUCUUCAGGUUCCUCGCUAGGCACUGGAGCUGAUUGCAGUGGUGAUCCAGCAAAUCACAGUAGUGAUGCUGCUGAUGGAAUAACUCCUUGGGGUUCCACACGGUUGCUGUGCGGGCACUGAGUUUCAAACUGCAGAAAAGGAGCAGGAAAGCCUGAUAUUUGGGUGCAUCAACUGGAGCUUUCAUCCCCACCCCAGGGAGAUGGGUUUUGGAGCCCUAGCAGCCUGCCCACCCUAUGGACAUGGCCAGAUACCCCCAGUUCCUUCCCAAGCACUGCUACCCAGAGAGGUGCUCUGUCCUGGCUAUGGGAGUUGAGCACGAAUAACUCACAAAUAAUGGAAAUCCCCACCAUGUGCCCCCAGCAUUGGCACGGCUCAGAGCCCUGCAAGAAGCGCGCUGCCUUGUUUGUCACCUGAAGCACUUGGAAAAAUUACACAAAUCCAUCAAUGUAAUGAAUCUUCUCAGCAGUGGCGAAUAGACAGAGACAGACAGGCACUCAGCUGAAACAAGUCAUCUUUAAAAAUUAAUACAAAAUAAACAGCUGGCCUUUCGCUCCGCUUCCAGGUGGCGGCUGCGUGGUUUGGGCGAGGGCUGGGCAGGGACCAAUGAUGGUUCCCAAUGGGAUCACGUCCCUGGGGCAGGGAAGUGUCCUCUGCCGUGUCCCUGUCACUGUCACAGUGUCACCUCCAUCUGCUGCUGCUCCAGGAAUGGUGGUGCAGCGCGGCAGUCAGUGUUGCACUGCGUGAGUGACUGCUUAAGAAACAGCCAAAUCUUUGGGAAUGCCAAAGCCUCAUCACCUCCCUACAGCCUUGCCAGGCUUCUGCCAGCCCUCUGGGCUCUCACAUCAGUUUGUCAGUGUCUGAUGGAGCUUGUACACUCCUCAGAGGACAGGCUGAGCUUGCUCUCCUGCUUGUCACGAUGUGGGCUCCAUAAAUAAUUAACAGUGGUGCUGCUUCUGCCCCCGAGCUUUCAUUUCAUUACCCAGGAAUAACAUACCCACCUAUAUACGUGUGUAUGUACAUGUCUGCGUGUAAUACGCAUCCAUAUGUACUUACAUUGCUUAAACAUCUGUUUCACCGGCCAGCCUCUCUGCUUUUCCUUCGGCCAUUGCUCUGUCUCCCUGCUGGUCCCAAGGGCAGGCAAGCAGCAGAAGGCGCUGCUCUCGACCGUGAGCAUCCCACCAGUGCUCCAGCUGCUCCUGCUCUGAGGCCAGGCUAUUUAUGAGGUACCAUGGGGCUGCCCUUGCCCUGCAGAGUGUGGGGAUGGAGAGCGGGGAGGAAGACGGAUGGAUCCUGAAUUGAGGUGAAUUUAUGGGGCUUUGCGAUUCCUGCUGCUGUAUGUCUCCGAGAAAUGACACCGCCACUUCAGGAGCAGAGAUUAAUCUGAGCCGGCAGGAGAAGGACAAAACAAAUCAUCUACUGCAGGAAUCUCAUUUGAUGCCUGUUAGUAAAAGCACUGCGAUGAAUGGCUUUUGUAAAGACCGCGUAGUACAGGCUUUUUUUUUUUCCUCCCUUUUCUCCAUUCGUCUGCAAAUUGAGGUCUGUGAGGUGUGUGGUGGAGGCACCCCAGGGUCACUCAUGGCCAGGCACAGGACAAGGACUCCCAGCAGCUUUGUGCACUGUGAGACAGGAGAGCAAAAAAGGGAAGGCAGAGCUCCCAGCGCGUCGUACCCAAGGAAGGAAUCCUUCGCUUUUGUUUUUAAAAGGGCAUUGAUUCUCACGUCCUGCAGAACACGGGGUCGGGGCAGCCUGCAGCCCCAGACAGAACAUCCCAGUGCUGCUCUGCAUCCCAGCCAGCAGCAGCUGGAUGCGGCCCAGUGGGAGCAGUACCAGCACCGAGCACUCCUCCCGCACGCCGCUGUGCAUCCCAGCUCAAUACAGAAUCAAUUGGAUUGAUCUUUUUUUAAGGUGCAGCCUCCGAACGGCUGAGACUGUGAGAGACGUGGCUAAGCACGCACUUCCACAAAAUAAUUUGUCAGGCCCCGCUGUAGAAACCUAAUGAUGGCUGUAAUUUAUUGCUGACAGACGAUAUUUAUCACCGCAGCAUCCCCUCUUUCUCUUCCUCUGUCUCGUUAGGAAUGGCAUCAAUAAUGUUUAUUGUAGCUUUUAAUUUUUUAUCGCUGGUAUUCUUACCUGUGCUGCUGAGGGCUGCAGGAGAUGGGAAAGGCGUCAGAGCAGAUGGAGGCUCAGCUCUGUGCUGAAGGGUGAGCGAUGAAGGCUGGAAGUUCCUCCUGCGUGCCCAUGCAGGGAGCGUGCAGUGCCAGAGAGCACCCCGAUAGCAGGGAAAAGCUUGAUCCCAGAUUUGCCCCGUGCUGCUCAGGUCAGAUGGAGCUUUAUGUUUGAGCCGAGAUCCUUCUUCAGCCAGGAUUUACAAACAAAAAUAAUACGACAGAGGAGAGGGCUGGUGCUUCUGAAGAUGCUCCGAAAACGCUCACACAAGCAGAAAGGGGCCCACAAGAAUUAUUCCCCAUACAGCAGCCAAGCCAAAGCUCAGGACGUCGUCCUUGCUCCGUCUGUCAGCCCAGCUCCUGAAAAAGAACAAAUCUCAUUAAUGGUUGCCAUAGAUUUCGACGAUGCCGCGCAAGGGCCAUAACACGGCGAGGCUCUUUAGAAUGGGAGAUAAACCAUUCUCAGCUUCACGACACUCUGGGUGCAGGAAGAUAAACAGCAUCUCCAGGGAUGCUGGAGGAGGAGCACGCCGGCAGCACGCCCACAUCUUGCUUUCACUGAGCUGCUGGGAUGAGACCAUGAGUGAGCAUCCAGCGGCAAUAGAUGAUAAUUUCCUAAGGAUGAGAAGAAAAGAAAAAGCUUCCCCUGACUUAAUGUAAUUAUUAGCAUUAAUAAUUAUAGAAGAGAAGAUGCCAAUUAGCAGAGCUAGCCCUGUUUGCAGGUGGGAAUAGCUGAGUUUACUCUUUUCCCCUUUCAUUUAAAAGCGGAUUUAGCAAUAAGACUGCAGAGGAGGCAUCCAAAUGCACAUGUGGCAGCUCCUGCAAGGCCAGAAUUGGGAACUGCUUGAUGUCAUUUGGGGAAAAACACCACUGAGAGAGAAACGGGGGUUAGUGACAACUGAAUAGGUGGAGUCAUGGAGUCACAGAACGGGAAAGGACCUCUGGGUCCAUCUGGUCCAACCCCCACUCAAACAGGGACACCCAGAGCCGCUUGCCUAGGGAGCAUUCUAUUAGGAAGCACUAACUGGGGAGUAGUGCAUUAAGGGCCAGGAGUUCUUUGUUUCUAAAGCACAUUCUUCUUCCACGGUCUCUGAGUAUUUUUGUUUAGAUAGGAUGUGUGCCCUGAUGGACCCAAGGCUGGGAAUUUACAAGAAGAAGAUAGUGGGAACAAGGAGGUAACGUUUGCCCAUUACUGUUUUUUUUCAAUGCCUCCUAAUUUUGGCAAGCCACUUGUGAGCUAAAAUAUUAAUUCUUAACUAGAGGAAACAUUCUCCCCCUCCUUCCUCCUCUUCCCCCAGUCCUUUUUUCACAUACCUUUUGGCUGAUAGAAAGAGCAGAAUAAUCUGAUCUGAUGUUUUGGGAUAUAUUCCCUGCAGGUGCUAUAGAAGUGCCACCUGCUACCUGCGUGCUGGGUUUGAUCACAAAUCAGUAGCACCCAGUGCUGCACAGGAUCUCAUAUUUUAAUGGCCACCAAGUGCCUGGCU
ensembl:lncRNA